UACAUCACUUUGUUUUCUUUUACAAACUCUCCCUAGUUAACCACUUGCCAUGUGAUUGUUCCUAAAUAUUUCAGAGAAAAAUGAGACAUAAAAGGGUUUGUCCAGAAACAGAAGCUUUGCAUUUCACUUCUUCUGGGAGGGAUAAAGACACAUUUUACAAAAGAUUCAUCAACAAGGAGAAAGGACCAACUCCAUUCAUCGCAUAGCAGUCCACAACUACCAGAAAAGAUCUCACAGACAUCUCACAGAGUGUUAUCUGUGUUUACCCAGAAAUGACUGACACUCACCUGAGUCACAUUCCAGAGGAAUUAUGCAUUGGUGAAAUGAUCCAGUCAGAGCAGAAAAAUGUUCCAGGAGAACAAAC